UACAGAGGGGGCAAGCGUUGUUCGGAUUUACUGGGCGUAAAGGGCGCGUAGGCGGCACUGUUAGUCAGGCGUGAAAUUCCUGGGCUCAACCUGGGGACUGCGCUUGAUACGGCAGAGCUAGAGGAUGGAAGAGGGUCGCGGAAUUCCCAGUGUAGAGGUGAAAUUCGUAGAUAUUGGGAAGAACACCGGUGGCGAAGGCGGCGACCUGGUCCAUUACUGACGCUGAGGCGCGACAGCGUGGGGAGCAAACAGG
rnacentral:rRNA from 1 species